GGGUGGACGGGGUGGGGGGCUGCUUUUCAUCAGGAGCCUUGCACUUCUUUGUGACUCUACCUGUGUGUAUUUAUUAUCUUUACAAAGAAGUAAACAAGCCAUGAGUUAUUAUUUCUUGUCACUCAGAUUAAUCAAGGUUUUCUAAAGGGACCUGGCCGUGCACGUGGUCAGCGACAUCGCCGUCAGAGGGCACUUGCCCAGGGCAGCGCAGAGCGCCCGGCCCCAUGGCCUGCCGGCCCCGCGGCUGCACUUGUGGGGUCUCCUGAAGGACGGGGUUCUAAACACACAGAGGAAGCUUUGUGCCCAGAGACGUUCGCCGACAGGCCGCUGACAGCGAUACAAAGACCGACAGGACACCACGCCCCGGCGUGACGGACGGAAGACGCUUUUAAACCUGAAGGGAACGUCCAGGAACGUGACCAGGCGUCAGGGUCCUGCCACGAGUUUCCCCCCACCAAACUCCUGAUGGGCAGCACGGGGCCCUAGGAAGGUCUUGGGAGCCUCUGCCGGGAAACAACAGUGGUGACCCGGCAACCGUCUCCAGGCAACCAUCUUUCCAGCAACUGUCUCCUGGCAACCCUGAUCCAGAGCCCAGAGCCCGCCAGGACCUGGCUGGAGCCAGGCUGGGUUUGCUGAAUGAAGAGCUUCACCUGCAGAUUUUCAUCUUCCUUCUCACAGCAGCAGGACCUGGCGCUGCUGCGUCCCCAUUUGCAAACGGGAACAGGGCUCACUCUGGUCAGGAGCCCUUGGCCCCCAGCAAGGCCUGGAGGGGGAGGGGAGGGAGGAGGACCAGGAGGGGAGGGAAGAGGGCAGAAGGACCCCUCCCAGGAGCCCCCGAGUCUGGGGCAGGGUCCCUUUGCUGCUGUGUGGGUUAGUGUUUUGUGUGGUGACAAUGAGAUGAUCGAAGCACGAUUUUGUGAACCACAGCGUUUAUUGCCACACGAAGCGGUUCCUUCUCUUUGCUCACCUGCUACCGAGGGAGGGGAGAAGGUGGGUGGGCUGCACUGACCGUCUGGGCCUGCACUGCGGCUCAGGGUCUGGCUGUGGACACCCGGCUGCCAGCAGGGACAGGGGCUGCCCCUGUGGACGGCGAGAUGCAUCUCUGCACAGGGGGAGCUGGGACCCUCCUGGCAGGGAGAGCCCAGGGGCUGGUGGGGGCCGUGUGUACCCAGGCUCCCUGGUGUGGCCCUGCGCUCAGGCCCCUUUGGAGCCCAGUGGCCGCUGGUCAGCCGGUCACGGGGGUCUGAGGAGCUGUGACGUCACAUGCUGGGAGGUGGCCCCCAGUUCCUGUCCCGGCAACACGAGCACCGUGAGCUCUGGGCUCCCCUCAGAGUCAGCCUGGUGGAGGGACUGCUGCAGAUUCUCAGGGGAGGGCAGGGCGGGGCUCAGUACCCCGCUUCCGACGGCCGUUUCGAGGCACCUUGGUGGGGUUCGGGACCCUUGUGGCUGCCAAGCACUGACUUCCCAGGUGUGGGUGACUCACCUGGCCCUGUCCUGCCCCUGAGCCCCAGAGACGGGCCCGUGGGGUCCCCAGGUGGGGGAGAGGAGGCCUCACCCCCUUGGCAAGACCUCGCUCGGGCCCCUCCCCGGGUCCUGUGGGUGGGCACAGGCUGUGCCGCCCCUGCCCCGCCCGGCGUGCCCCUCCUGCCCUGGGCUCUGAAACCGUGGGGGGCCUGGUUGCUUCUGUGCCGUCCUCCUUGGCACCCCCAGCCUGGUGCAGGGGGGCCGGGUGUCCUCGGGGCACGUCUGCAGCCCCGUGGCUCACGCCUGGGCUGCGGGCGUCGGGCCCAGCUGCUGGGCUCCUAGGAUGGCCCAUGUGGGUGCCUCAACCUCCCUCCCUAUUGCACCCACAGCCCCCUGUGGCCGCGUCAGGAAGCCAACUGGGGUCAGGGAGGCUGGCCCUGGGGACAGGAGAGCCCUGGGCCCUGCCUUGCACCUGGUGUCCCGGGGGUAGGGGGGUCGUGUGGGGGCCGGCGGGGGCUUUCUUCCAGCGGGGCUCGGGCCAUGGACGGACGGUAUUACCAGACAGUAUUAGACAGAAGGGUCCAGAUCUAACCGUGUCUGGUAAGACGCCCAUCGGAGGCAGCAGGUGCAGUGGGCCUCCGGGGUCUGGGCAGGCGUCCGCGCCUGUCGGGAAGGGCCUGGGGUGCCCCCCACCCCAGGGCUGCUCCACGGGGCGGGGGGCUCUCCUGAAAGCCCCUAUCCGGCCUCGGCCCUCGAGCAGGUCACCUUGCCCUGCUCUUGGCAGAACCGGCCACAGCACCUGGCUGGUUUCCUGAACGGCUCUGGGGCAGGUUAAUAGGUAACAGCGAGUCCGGCACAGAGGCCUCCCCGCCCCCGCCGGGCCUCUGGCAGGGCCGCAGGCUUCCUGGCUUCAGAUCAAAAGGCCACGCCAGUGCUGAUCCCAGCCUGGUGUGGGGGGAACCUACGCUCCUUGUCCUUAGUCUCCCCGACGCCCGGGUGUCGGGGCUUGGGGACAUGAGCCCACCCUGGCCCUUCCUGUACCCCCAGGGACCCCGGAUGCCGUCAGGCCUGGCCGUGUGCGGGAGCCGGCACCGCGGGGCGAGUCCUCCAGACUCAGUGUCCUGGCCCUGCUGGUCUGUCCUAGAGCCAGGUCACCCCCAAACCCUGCCUGGGCCCCUCCCUGCAUGCCAGGCUGCAGCGAGGAGACAGGCCCCCUGCCCGCCCCGGCUCAGCCCCGGGUCUGGGACCUCGGGCCGGUGCAGCCUCGGGCGUCUCCCGGAGCACGGUGGGUCACCUUUGAACAUCGUUACCAGACAGUGUUAGAGUUGAGCGGAGAAAUCCAGCACUGUCCGGUAAGAUGCCCACAGAGGCCCAGGAUGGCGGGCAGACUGGCAGACGCAGGGCCCAGGCCUGCAGGGCAGGCGGCAGGGGAGCUGGUGAGGACCAGGUGCACAGCAGCCAGGGCUGUGCCGGACGGGGAAGGGCUGGCAGGGAGACGAUUAGGGGCCCGAGACCCCCACGAGCCCCACUCCCUGCUCUCCCCAGAGCUGUCCGGGGACCCAGCCAGGUGCUGCCUGCUGCUCAUGCCCGCCCACCUGCCGGCAGGAGGGGAAGGUGGCUGGUGGCCAGGAAGAGCCAGCCGGGAAUGGUGGGCUGCCCGCUGGCGGGCACAGGCCCCACAAGGCUUUGCCUGGGCCCAGAAAGCUGGCCAGAGCAGCUCUUCAAGUUUUCCGGCACCUUCCACCCACAUAGGCUGCAGGGAGGGGCUCAGGCCCUGUGCCGGCUCCAGCCGACCACAACAAAGGCCGCCUCCACCACCCCCACCCCCCCCUCGCCCGCAGCCUGGUCCCCCUGGCUCUCCACCCACGUCUCUCAGGGGACCUGACCCCUGCACAGGCCCAGCAGGUGGGGACGGAGGGGCUUCGCUGGUGGCUGGGCCCUCGGGGACACUGUGCCCCACUCGGGGCGACCCCACAGCCUGGCUCCUUGCCGUGCCCCCGGACCCCAGGCAGCCACACCUUCCCCUUCCCUCACCUCUCCGACUGCCCCACCGACCUCAUUAAAUCAGUGCUUCAGGAAUGCAGUUUCACUUUUUCCCCCUUUCAUAACUGAGUAAAAUUGCAGCUCUGCCCCCCGGGUGCUGGGCCCCCGGACGGCGUGGGGGCUGGAGAGGGCCAGGGCGGGCGCCCAGUGUCUGUCCCAUAGCUGGGGUCACACCCGUUCCCCAGCCCACCGGCUGGACAGCCCGGCCUCCUGCGUGGCCUUUGGGGCCGGAGCCUGAGGUCCCCUAGGGCCCGUGGCCGCUGAGGGCUGGCCCUGCUCAGGGGGCACCUGGGGGCCCGGGACCCUGCAGGCUCGUGGCCUGGAGUUUGUGAGCUGCUGGGACCAAGCCUCAGGCCGGCGGCAGGAGACUCCUCCUUCCUCAGGUCCAGGGCAGAAUCCCCGGUUCUCUCUGAGCUCAGAACCUGUAAAUGCACGGGAAAAACUCCAUAGGGAAAGACUGACAAGGUCCCAGGGCUGAGUGAGGGGGCCCUGCCCGGUGCAGGGAGGGGCGGCCAGAGUGCAGAGGGGAGGCAGCCACUUAUUGUGGCCACAGAGCAAGAAAUGAAAAGCAAAAAUAGUUGUCCCCUGGGUUCCGAGAGUCCCCAAGGCGCUUUCGUGGUCAACUGUCGUGGGAAGUAGGGCGGCGUCAUGCUCCUGGGCCUGGGCCCGGGGCGCCGGGUUAAUCAUCACUGUGGGGACCAGGUGCAGUCUGGGAACCGGGAGGCCGCAGCCCCCCAGGCCAACCCCGCGCUGCUUGCCGGAUUGGGUGGGAGCAGCCCAGGAAUUCGGUCCCAGCGAGAAACCCGGGCGGCUGGUUAACCUGCCCGACAGGCUUAAUCAAUGGCCGCAGAGAACAAAGCCUGAAACCCAACCCUCCCCAGCUGCGGGUCAGCCAGGCCCCGACGCCACUGAGGGCUCUGGGCGGGGCGGCGAGAAGCUUGGCUUGUCUACACUGGGCUCUUUCCUCGGCUGCGGCGGCGGCGUUGCAGCUACGUGUCUGCGAGGCAGAGCCGCCAUUUCACCCCGUGGCGGCACCUCCGUGGCCCUGGCCGGGCGGCCGCGCACUGGGCCAUCCCACGCCCACCCAGCCGCGGAGAACGGACCAGGCUCCCCGUGGGGCUGGUAACCUCCUUUCCGUCUUCUCCUAAACACCGCAAAACACAUUCUGACGAACCGAUUUUGCAAAUAAAGUCCUUGCAGACGACUGAAACAUCUGAAAAUUCACGGCGAGCUGCGUCCAUGUUUCGUGGUGGGUUUGCAUGCUCAUAAAUGCAAAACUUAGGUUUUGUCUGAUUCAAUAUGUUGCCGCAGGUGGGUCGUGCUAACUAGUAAACGUUUCAUCCGGGUUACUAGAGGAACGAAACAAAAUGAAACCGACCUGUUUUUCCAGAUACUCAGCCUAAAAAAGGGCCUAAAACGCUCACAGUGGAUUGAUUAAAACGUUGCAUUUUCAUGCCCUGAGAGUCUUGUUCAUCAAGAACAAUGAAC